rnacentral:piRNA from 1 species
UAAAGUGAAAGACAUAAAGGGCUGAGG